UCCCUGAUGGUCCAGUGGUUAGGAUUCUGUAUUUUUGCUGAAGAGGGCAUGGGUUCAAUCCCUGGUUGGGGAG
rnacentral:tRNA from 1 species